AGAUUUUUAAAUAGUAUUCUAGGGUUAGAUACGAACGGUUCUUACUUUCAUCGCAUUUCUAUUUCUCUUUGAAGUAAACAAUUUUUUUGAUGUUUUUAACGAUACGACUCAAAUACGCAAACCUAAGGUGAAGGAUUUUGUGUAUAUCGUAUCAAUCCAAAUAGCUAGUAUUAUUGAGUCCUUCAGAUAGACAAGACACAGUGUCGUGUGAAUCCGAAGUUGGUAAGAUAUCAGUAAGAAUUUGCGUUAAACUAGACAGAUAACUUUUCAAUGUGCUAGUUGCUGUAUCGAGAUUUUCAGUGUGCAGUAUUCAUAUAGUGAGCACAAUGAAAAAUAUUUGCUUCAAGAUUUUUAUUACCUCAAUAUUAUCAGUCUCUGUAAUGGUACCAGUAUACAAAAUUAUAGCAUCAUUCACACAUCCCUCAAGACUCCCUCAAGAACAAUAUAUCUUUCAUAGAAAUAAUAGACACAACAAGAAUAAGACUGAUAAUGAAACGUUAGAAGAUGAUGUUACUAGAGAAAAAGUUAAGCCAUAUUUCACCGAAGCUGCAAUAAUAAUAGGAGGAGGAACACUUAUACUAACAGUAUUCAUGAUGGCCAUAAUUUGGAUUUAUGAACGUUGGAACACACCGCCACCGCAAGUUAUAGAACAAUAUGAAUUACGUCAAGCCCAACAUUUCCAGCAGGAGCACAGGAGACAACAACCCCAGCGCAGGCAGAAUCGUGUAAAUUGGGCAAGAACUCUGGGUAAACAAGUUUUCGUAACAUCGGUAACAAUACGAGUCAAACACAUAAGGCAAAAGCUAAGGAUUUUGUAUGUACCAUACAGUUUCAUAUGUACCAGACAGUUAGUGUUAUUGUGUCCUUCAUAGGAAUAAGAGUUGAGUAGAUUCGAAUUUGAUUUAUUAUAUGUGAUCGCAACAUUACCAAUCAUCGAUAAAAUAAAAGUGAAAUAUAACCGCUUUUUGGCUCUAAACUUUUUAAAAAGCAAAAUUUAAUAAUAUUUUCUGGAGUUUUAUCCAACAUUGACAUACACCAUGACAAGGGCAAUGUUAAUCUGCAUUUUUGUAAUUUUAGUCAUCGUUACAGAAGUAACGUACACACGUUUAAUAAUAUUCAAUGAAACUGAAGAAAUUGAUAUAAAUUUCAAUAAUACUCAAUAUAAUCAGUCAGAUUAUGAAAUGCCGAUAAAUAAAUUUGAUAUCACAAAACUUUACGCUACACCCACGAAAGGAUAUAUGAUAAUGCGACUUAUGUUCUACACUGCGCUGGGCAUUAUAUUGUAAGUCGAUGUGUCUACAAUAGACAACAAAUAUAAUAUAUAAUAAUAAUAAUGAUAAUAAUAAAUACAUAUAUGUAUGUCUCGUGUACAUGUUUAUAUGCAGGGUAAGUUCGGGAUAGAUGGCCAUAACUUUUUUUUCUCUGUCAAAAAGAUACUUUGUUUUUCUAUAAAAAAUUUGCGAAAAAUAGGCUAGUAUUUUAAUGUUUUCCAUCAUGAUAGCUGUUUUUAGAACAAUACGCGCACGCACACACACACGAUCUUCAUAAAAAUUCGUUUAAAAAUAUAAAUACUUUGGCCAUCUAUCCCUUAUAUCAAGGAGAGAUGAUCAUAGAAUAUAAAAUUAGUUGUGCACCUUUAUAAAAUUAACUGUAUUAAUUAAAUGUAAACAAAAGAAAUUAUUGUAGAUUAAAAUUAGGCCUACGCGCACUUCUUAUAUUUUUAGAAAAAAAGAUUUUGACAAAACUUGUUAAUAGCAUCUUUCAGAUCCUUUUUUUUCGCUUUCCAUAGUUAUUACCUGCUCUAAAUAUGUACUUGUUCGAUAUCUAAAAACAAAGAGAGUAAUUUGAUAGAAAAAUAUAAUAAUAAUAAUUCCACUGGUAACGAACUAUUCCAAGAACAUGGUACUUCAUAAAACAUAGCAAGCACGAAUGGAAACUGUACAACGUUAGCUACAGUGGAGAGCUCUAAAUAAACAUGAUAUCUUGAUUUCUGUCAGUUGAAGCCAGAUAUUUCUGAUAUUUAUGCGGGAAUAGUAACACACACACACACACACAAAUUUUCAGCAGGUAGUAAAGCUUAAAAUGGAGAUAUUUUCACAUUUAUGCUUUUCUGCAUAACAUUAAAUCUCCCAUUGCAAACACAACUAAAACUCAUCACACAUUAAGUGAUAACACAACUGUGUGCCAGUAGAGAAAUUAGAGCGAUUGCUCAUCUCUCUCGCGUGACUAUCUACCUUGGAAUUACCUUAUAUAUACAUGUAUUGGAAAAAUCAUUAGAUAUCUAUAAAUAUACGGCGAAUAUCUUUAAAAUAUACGAUUAGCUGUAUAUUUCUAACUACUUCGUGCUCUGAAAGAAUCACAAAAUUACGUAAAGUGUGAAACACCAGCAUUAGUGCAUUCAAUUGUGUUUGAUAAUUUUUCGGUAUAUAUAUGGUUUUAGCAAUUCGAUUCUUUUCUUACAACUAAAAUUUAUAUCUAUUGUUGGUUCACACGUGAAUAAUAUUAUAUACCCAUACAUAUCCUUUUUAUAUUGUGCUUAUAUGUAAAUAUGACUUUAUAUUUUUUUAAGCAUCGUUUUCUGCGUACAAGCAUGUCAACUCCUGGAAGGAAUGCCCAGACCUCCAAUACGUAGAUUAUAUCACAGAUAUAUAAUGCGAUUGUACAUAUUUAUUGUAGAUGUGUUGCAAUAUCGACCAGUCAGAGCAAUAGAAGAUAUAGAAUUAGAAUAGAAUAGAAAAAAGAUAAAAAAAUAUAAUAGAAUAGAUAUUUGAGGAACCAGUAAACUGACGUCUACAUACAUACACAGAUAAUAAUAAGAAUGAUUAAAACAAGACUGCUGGUGGUAUGUAAUUUUAAUAAAAGUUUUAAGAAAUCUGCAAAUUAUACGCACAUUUUAAAUGUUAUAUCGUAAAACUGUAUUACAAAGCUAUUGUUUGGAUAUGAAGGCAAUGAAUAAUGAAGAUAUAUAAUUAGUUAAUGAUUUAAUAUAUAUGCGAAAAUGAUUUCACAUUUUAAAGGUGAUUUAUUAUUUUGCGUGGACUUCAUGAAAGGGACCAUGAAAAUCCAGAGCAAUUUAAUGAAGAGAUCGAAAAUGAGCAUCAAGAUCUAUAAACCAGCUUGAAUUUUUACACAUAUGACUAGAAUUGAGAUAUAUUGAGAAGAUGACUCAGAUGACAAAAUAGAGUAUGUAAUUCCAACAAAAGACGUAAAAGAAUGUACUAAUUGUAUAUAUGUAUAUAUAUACAAAUACAAAAAAGUUGUUAAAAGUUGUUAAAAUUUAUUAAAACUUCGCUUAGAUGCGGUACAUCGGAAUAUAAUGCGGGAAAGUACCCUUGAAUAUUAACUUAAAAAUACUUUAAUAUUGAUAUAAAUAAAUGUAACAUAUUCUACAAUAAUCAUGUUUUUAUGUAAUAAAAACAGAAGUACAAAAUAAAAUCGCUUUGUUACAGUAUCAGUCAUAAA